UACGUAGGGGGCUAGCGUUGUCCGGAUUUAUUGGGCGUAAAGAGCGUGUAGGCGGCCAGGUAGGUCUGCUGUGAAAACUCGAGGCUCAACCUCGAGACGUCGGCGGAAACCAUCUGGCUAGAGUCCGGAAGAGGAGAGUGGAAUUCCUGGUGUAGCGGUGAAAUGCGCAGAUAUCAGGAGGAACACCGGUGCGAAGGCGGAUCUCUGGGCCAUUACUGACGCUGAGGAGCGAAAGCGUGGGGAGCGAACAGG
rnacentral:rRNA from 1 species